rnacentral:rRNA from 1 species
AUUGAACGCUGGCGGCAGGCCUAACACCUGCAAGUCGAGCAGAACGGCGGACGGGUGAGUAAUGACUAGGAAUCUGCAUGGUAGUGGGGGAUAACGUCCGGAAACGGGCGCUAAUACCGCAGACUAUCAGAUGAGCCUCGGUCGAAUUUGCUAUUUGGUGGGGUAAAGGCCUACCAGGGCGACGAUCCGUCACUGGUCUGAGAGGAUGAUCAGUCACACUGUAACUGAGACCCGGUCCAGACUCCUACGGGAGGCAGCAGUGGUGAAUAUUGGACAAUGGGCGAAAGCCUGAUCCAGCAAUGCCGCUUGUGUGAAGAAGGUCUUCGGAUUGUAAAGCACUGUAAGUUGGGAGGCGUUACCAACAGAAUAAGCACCGGCUAACUUCGUGCCAGCAGCCGCGGUAAUAC